rnacentral:lncRNA from 1 species
UGAGUUGAAACGUUUUUUAAUUAUACCAUACAAUCGAUUAUCUAUUCUAGACAAUCGAUUGUAAUGGUCCAGAAACUUAAAAAAAUUUUAUCAAAACCAAAAUAAUCGAUUGUCUGCUUUUGACAAUCGAUUAUAUUGGUCCAGUUUCUUAAAACCAGCAUAAUCGAUUAUAUGGUUUUGACAAUCGAUUAUGUUGGUCCGGAAACUUAAAAAAAAUUUCUCAAAACCAAAAUAAUCGAUUGUCUGGUUUUGACAAUCG